CAAUAAGCGGAGGAAAAGAAACCAACAGGGAUUGCCUCAGUAACGGCGAGUGAAGCGGCAACAGCUCAAAUUUGAAAUCUGGCCCCCUGCGGGGUCCGAAUUGUAAUUUGGAGAGGAUGCUUUGGGCGCGGCGCCUUCCGAGUUCCUUGGAACAGGACGCCAGAGAGGGUGAGAGCCCCGUACGGUUGGACGCCUAGCCCGUGUAAAGCUCCUUCGACGAGUCGAGUAGUUUGGGAAUGCUGCUCUAAAUGGGAGGUAAAUUUCUUCUAAAGCUAAAUACCGGCCAGAGACCGAUAGCGCACAAGUAGAGUGAUCGAAAGGUGAAAAGCACUUUGAAAAGAGAGUUAAACAGCACGUGAAAUUGUUGAAAGGGAAGCGCCUACGACCAGACGCGCCGCCAGUGGUACACCCGACGUUUACGCGCCGGGGCAUGCCACGGGUGGCGGGCCAGCAUCGGCUCUGCUAGGGGGAGAAGGACCGCGGGAACGUAGCUCCCUCCGGGGAGUGUUAUAGCCCACGGUGCGAUGUCCCUGGCGGGGCCGAGG
rnacentral:rRNA from 1 species